UUUUUCUUUUAGGUCGUUGAUGCAUUUUGCCGAAUGUUGCAAUUCGAUGAUCAAUCAAGGACAAAACUAUUUCUCUCCCCCUACAUAGCUGAAAUGGUGAUGCGUUCCAACGCAAAACAUUUGACGCACGAUGCAAUUAUUGCGCGUUUCGAUCCAUAUAUGUAUGCCUUUGAUGGUUCGUAUCAGAAUGUUACUCAGGUCUACUUACCGGUCCUUUUCAAAAACCAUUGGACACUUUAUGUCUAUGACCUACAUAACAAACGAAUCCAGCUCUUGGAUUCUCGGC